rnacentral:tRNA from 1 species
AGGGAUGUGGCUCAGUGGUAGGGCAAUUGUCUAGCAUACACGAGGCACUGGGUUCAAUUCCCAGCACUACCA